AUGCAGGGAGCAAAGAGGGAAGACCUGGGUACGUGCGCGCUGAGCGCCUGCCCACCCCCUGCCUCACAAGGGGAGCUGGAGGAAGGCGCCACGAGGGGCGCAGGGCACACAAGCGGUGCGCGGGGACGUCAGGCUGCCCACCGGCUCCAAGAAGGAGCAGCCCACACGCAGGUAGCAGCGGGUCCUGCCAGUGAGGGGCUUCUCGCAGCGUUCCCACGCCGUGCUGGAGGUGCCGCAACGCGCAUCCUGCACAAAAAAAUAAUCCAGGCGAUGGAAAAACCCAUCCCCAUCCCUCCAGCACAGCGGCCACUGCCUUGCUCGUGCCGAGGGGCACACUGGGUGCCAGCCAAGGGCUCAGCCUUGCCCCCGACCCCCGGCUCCUGCACUCGCAGGCUUUGUGGCCCCGCCGCGGCCACCCACGGCCGCCAGCCCUGGCCCCUCUGGCAGCGGCCCGGGGCGAGCCUGCCAGCACCGCGGGGUUUACGACUCCAGACGCUCCAGGUGGAUUCUCUCAUGUUACAAGAAUGGUUCGUUUUACAGCCAGUUUCCUGGCCUGGGGCUGGUCCCUGCAGCCCGGCCAGGCUGGGAUCCUGCGAUGGAUGGAGAGAGGCGAUGGGGCAGCCCCACCAGCACCCCAGGGCCAGGUGGAGAGGGGGCCAGGCAGCAUCGCUGAGGGGCUGGAAAUCCUCGACCCCACCCCGAAGAAGCUGCUCAAGGGGAAAAGCAAGGCACAGGCUCAACACCCAGCCCCGCUGCCCUGGGGACUGUCACUUGAGCAGGGAGGGGACGAGGUCCCUGGUGCUGCGCUCCCUCCAUCCCCUCCCCUCUGCUCCCAGAGCUGCAGCAGGGCCCCGCACUGCUGCUCCCCGUCGAUUUACGCCACUGCAAGCAGCCCCCCGCUACACCCCGCUCCUCAAAGAUAAGCAAGAGGGGGACGCCAAUCCCCCUGUACCCACACGUGGGGGUCACCGGGACCCCUGUACGAUCCCCGUGGCGUGGUUGGGAGGGAUGCUGCAAACCCCCCAGGACCACCCGUGGGAUGCCUCCCGGGAGCGUGGCCGCCCGCGGUUCAUUCCCCGCAGGUAA
rnacentral:lncRNA from 1 species